GUGAACGCUGGCGGUAGGCCUAACCCCUGCAAGUCGAACGGCAGCACCGUAAGAGCUUGCUCUUACGGGUGGCGAGUGGCGGACGGGUGAGGAAUACAUCGGAAUCUACUUUUUCGUGGGGGAUAACGUAGGGAAACUUACUCUAAUACCGCAUACGACCUACGGGUGAAAUCAGGGGAUCUUCGGACCUUGCGCGAUUGAAUGAGCCGAUGUCGGAUUAGCUAGUUGGCGGGGUAAAGGCCCACCAAGGCGACGAUCCGUAGCUGGUCUGAGAGGGUGAUCAGCCACACUGGAACUGAGACACGGUCCAGACUCCUACGGGUGGCAGCAGUGGGGAAUAUUGGACAAUGGGCGCAAGCCUGAUCCAGCCAUACCGCGUGGGUGAAGAAGGCCUUCGGGUUGUAAAGCCCUUUUGUUGGGAAAGAAAAGCAGCAGGUUAAUACCCCGCUGUUCUGACGGUACCCAAAGAAUAAGCACCGGCUAACUUCGUG
rnacentral:rRNA from 1 species